rnacentral:rRNA from 1 species
CGAGGUCCGGAGCUUGCUCCGGGCGCCUAGUGGCGAACGGGUGAGUAACGCGUGGGAACCUGCCCUGGAGUGGGGAACAACCUUUGGAAACGAAGGCUAAUACCGCAUACGCUCUACGGAGGAAAGGCUUCGGCCGCUCUUGGAUGGUCCCGCGUCUGAUUAGCUUGUUGGUGGGGUAACGGCCUACCAAGGCGACGAUCAGUAGCUGGUCUGAGAGGAUGAUCAGCCACACUGGGACUGAGACACGGCCCAGACUCCUACGGGAGGCAGCAGUGGGGAAUAUUGGACAAUGGGGGAAACCCUGAUCCAGCAAUGCCGCGUGAGUGAAGAAGGCCUUAGGGUUGUAAAACUCUUUCGCCGGUGAAGAUGAUGACUGUAGCCGGUAAAGAAGCCCCGGCUAACUCCGUGCCAGCAGCCGCGGUAAU